rnacentral:rRNA from 1 species
AGAGUUUGAUCAUGGCUCAGAUUGAACGCUGGCGGCAUGCUUUACACAUGCAAGUCGAACGGCAGCACGGGGGCAACCCUGGUGGCGAGUGGCGAACGGGUGAGUAAUGCAUCGGAACGUGUCCUUAAGUGGGGGAUAACGCACCGAAAGGUGUGCUAAUACCGCAUAAUCUCCACGGAGAAAAGCAGGGGAUCGCAAGACCUUGCGCUUUUGGAGCGGCCGAUGUCUGAUUAGCUAGUUGGUGAGGUAAAGGCUUACCAAGGCGUCGAUCAGUAGCUGGUCUGAGAGGACGACCAGCCACACUGGGACUGAGACACGGCCCAGACUCCUACGGGAGGCAGCAGUGGGGAAUUUUGGACAAUGGGGGAAACCCUGAUCCAGCCAUGCCGCGUGAGUGAAGAAGGCCUUCGGGUUGUAAAGCUCUUUCAGCCGGAACGAAACGGUCACGGCUAAUACCCGUGACAACUGACGGUACCGGAAGAAGAAGCACCGGCUAACUACGUGCCAGCAGCCGCGGUAAUACGUAGGGUGCGAGCGUUAAUCGGAAUUACUGGGCGUAAAGCGUGCGCAGGCGGUUUUGUAAGUCAGAUGUGAAAUCCCCGGGCUUAACCUGGGAACUGCGUUUGAAACUACAAGGCUAGAGUGUGGCAGAGGGGGGUGGAAUUCCACGUAGCAGUGAAAUGCGUAGAGAUGUGGAGGAACACCGAUGGCGAAGGCAGCCCCCUGGGUUAACACUGACGCUCAGGCACGAAAGCGUGGGGAGCAAACAGGAUUAGAUACCCUAGUAGUCC